rnacentral:lncRNA from 1 species
AAAAAAAAAAAAAUCGUUAUGGUUAUUUGGUUGCAAAAAAGAAAAAAUUAUAAAUAGAAAACUAUUAUAUAUUUUUUCUCUUAUUCUAUAUAUUAUUGAUAUAUAAUACUUAUCAUAUUAUAUAUAUUAGUAUUAUAAUUUAUAUUUAAAAUAUAUUAUAUAAUAAUUAAGUAUGUAAUAUAAUAUAUAAUAGUAUAUAGUAUAUAUUUAAUACUAGAGUAAUGCUUCUAUACUUUUUUUUUUUGGUUACUGUUCAUUCACGCGUAUUCAACGGCUCAGAUUUAGUUUUUUUAAAAUUGUGACCUGCAAUAGUAGGUCACUUUGGGAGAGGUACCGGUUACCAGGUAC